rnacentral:rRNA from 1 species
CGACCCACAAACAUUAAGGUGUGAUUA